rnacentral:rRNA from 1 species
UACGUAGGUGGCAAGCGUUGUCCGGAAUUACUGGGUGUAAAGGGAGCGUAGGCGGGGGUUUAAGUUGGAUGUGAAAUACCGCAGCUCAACUGCGGGGCUGCAUCCAAAACUGGAUCUCUUGAGUGAAGUAGAGGCAAGCGGAAUUCCUAGUGUAGCGGUGAAAUGCGUAGAUAUUAGGAGGAACACCAGUGGCGAAGGCGGCUUGCUGGGCUUUUACUGACGCUGAUGCUCGAAAGCGUGGGGAGCAAACAGG